rnacentral:lncRNA from 1 species
AAAAACCUUAUUCGCCAUCUAUCUAGAAAUUGGCGCACAUCGAAUCAGCUUUCUUUUCUCCUUUUCCGUAUAGAACUCCAUCUCUCUCUCUCUUUUCUCCCCCUUUAUUAAAUUUGCUUCUCUCCAUCUCCAGCUUUCGCUGCCAUUCUAUCUUUCUGCUUCAACAAGAUGAGUCGUUCGUCGUCGAGGAAGACGAGUCAAUCCGAUUCCACAGCUCCCGUCGCUUCUUCCGCCACCGGCCUUUUCCGUUCUGGUAAUCAAAGCUUUUAUCUUGCUUCUCCUCAUUUCCGAGUUUUUCCCUCUCUGCAUCCGUGUAAUUGAACUUCUAUCGUACAGUCUUCAGCUUUGGGAUUUUGUGAUUCGAUGCAAUUGUUUGGAAAAAAAUAGCUCUUGAUUUUGUGUGGCCAAAUGAAUGGUUUAGAACUUGUUGUUGUAAAAGGCAGAGACUUUCUUUGCCUAGUUGGAUAUGCUGGUAGCUGUAGCUUGCAACUCU